rnacentral:rRNA from 2 species
CCGGAGAGGGAGCCUGAGAAAUGGCUACCACAUCUAUGGAUGGCAGCAGGCGCGCAAAUUACCCAAUCCCGACCUGGGGAGGUAGUGACAAUAAAUAACAAUGCGGUUCCAUUUUUGGUUCUGCAAUUGGAAUGAGAACAAUCUAAACACCUUAACGAGGAGCAAUUGGAGGGCAAGUCUGGUGCCAGCAGCCGCGGUAAUUCCAGCUCCAAUAGCGUAUAUUAAAGUUGUUGCAGUUAAAAAGCUCGUAGUUGGAUUUCGGAGCGGUCGGGUUGGUCCGCCCAGCGUGGUGUGCACUGGCCUUGGUGGUAUGGCUGGGGUUGCUUCUUUCACGAGGGGCUUCCCUUAGUCUGCCGCCCUUGUUGCGUGUACACGUAGCAAGUGACCGUUCUUCUCCCUCGGAGACGGAGUCUGUCCUUCACUGGAUGGGCUUUGGAUGCGAGGUGUUUACUUUGAAAAAAUUAGAGUGUUCAAAGCAGGCCUUAUCUUCGCUUGAAUACAUUAGCAUGGAAUAAUGGAAUAGGACUCUGUGCCUAUUUUGUUGGUUUGAAGGCAGAGAGUAAUGAUUAAUAGGGACAGUUGGGGGCAUUCGUAUUUAAUUGUCAGAGGUGAAAUUCUUGGAUUUCUGAAAGACGAACAACUGCGAAAGCAUUUGCCAAGGAUGUUUUCAUUAAUCAAGAACGAAAGUUAGGGGUUCGAAGACGAUCAGAUACCGUCGUAGUCCUAACCAUAAACAAUGCCGACUAGGGAUCAGCGUACGUUCGUUCUAUGGGACGUCGUUGGCACCUUACGAGAAAUCAAGAGUUUUUGGGUUCUGGGGGGAGUAUGGUCACAAGGCUGAAACUUAAAGGAAUUGACGGAAGGGCACCACCAGGAGUGGAGCCUGCGGCUUAAUUUGACUCAACACGGGAAAACUCACCAGGUCCGGACAUAGUGAGGAUUGACAGAUUGAGAGCUCUUUUCUUGAUUCUAUGGGUGGUGG